UUUUCUUCUCUUUCCUUCUCCCCAAGCUCCCUCUCUGCUUCCCUCUGCUGACGCCGAUAGGACCAGCUCCGGCCACCGAUCGAGCUCACCAUCACCACCAAUCAAUCAAGUCGUCUCUCCAAAUAAGACCUAUCGAGCCUUUGACUCUGACUCCUCCCUUCACGAUCCAAUGACCCAGUGCCUAAGCCAAGGCGAUCAUUGUCGUCUAGUCAGCUCCGACUGGCGCGCCACCCUCGUUUGAACCACCACGGCAACAACAACACAUUCCUAUUUUCGGUUUCUCCAAUCGACGACUGUGCAAGAAGAGCUUGUGGUGAACAGUCCUUGUGAUCUUCAAUUUCAAGUUUUCAAUUCAAUUUUGACAAAACCCCUCUUUUUUAGGGUUUCUGCUCCGCCUUAUCUCCACCAUGUCCACCUCCGUAUAGUGAGUCACCAACCUGCACAAGGAAAUUCCUCCUCCCUUAUAUUGAUUUCAGUUUGGAGAAUCAAUGCCUAGCGGCCCUAGCCUCAUAUUCUCUCUUAUCUGGUUAUUUACUCCACUGUAUCUCCACCUUUAGCUCUAUUUUCCCCCGCGUCGAACCUGCGGAGGUUUAAUACGAUUGUCUGCAAUCUGACACAGUGAACUUUAUACAGUUGUCUGCAAUCCGACAGAUCCAGUGUUAGUUGCUACAGGGGUGGAGAUGACAAGAGGGUUUCUUUGGAAGAUUGGACAAGGAGAUUGGGCUUCUGAGCUCUAAGGCCAUAAGGAUUAUGUUUCCAGUUUAGCAUUUAGUACUGAUGGACAGUUCGUUGCAUCUGGAAGCUUGGAUGGAAUUAUCCAAUUCUAGGAUACAACAUCAACUAAUCUGAAAAGCACACUUGAAGGUCCUGGAGGGGGCAUUGAGUGUUUUCAGAUGCGACGCCGAAGCGUCGCCGGACGAGCGGCGGAGCGAUGCGAAGCGAAUCGACUUCAAUCUCCAGAUCGCAGGUCAGUUUGGGUUGUUUGAGAGUGCUCCGGCCGUCGUCUUGAUUGAAGAGACCAGUGCUCCGGCCGGGAACGUCGCAGCCUCACAGGAGGCAAGACUUCUUCUUGGCUCGCAGGAUUCUUCUGGCUCCAAGAGACAAAGAGUCGAGAGUGUUCCGGCCGUUGUCUUGAUUGAAGAGACACCGGUGCUCCGGCCGUCGCAGCCUCGCAAGACCUCUUCUUGGAUCGCAGCAUCGCACUUCUGGGUUCGCAGCAUCGCAGGCGGCACGAUUACUGGGUCGAAGAGAAGAGACGAAGAGGAAGAUGCAAAUUUUUUUUUCUCUAGGCCAAAACGACGUCGUUUUGGCACAUUUCAUUUAACCAAAACGGUUCCGUUUUGAUUAGUUUCAAACGACACAAAAGGGUUUUAUCAAUUAUACAAGUGAUUCAUAAUUUCAACCUAGCAUGUCAUUUUCUGAAUACUCUCUGCCUCCCUCAUUCUCUCUGCCCUCUACCUCCGUGAGUCUCUCUUCCUCUCCAUUGGAGAUCAAAUUUUGUGCUGCCUAU